rnacentral:rRNA from 1 species
UUCAGAUCGCAGUCUGCAACCCGACCUGCGUGAAGUCGGAAUCGCUAGUAAUCGCGGAUCAGCAUGCCGCGGGUGAAUACGUUCCCGGGCCUUGUACACACCGCCCGUCACACCAUGAGAGUUGGGAACACCCGAAGUCCGUAGCCUAACCGCAAGGGGGGCGCGGCCGAAGGUGGGUUCAAUAAUUGGGGUGAAGUCGUAACAAGGUAAC